UACGUAGGGUGCAAGCGUUGUCCGGAAUUAUUGGGCGUAAAGAGCUCGUAGGCGGUUUGUCGCGUCUGCUGUGAAAACUCGGGGCUUAACUCCGGGCCUGCAGUGGGUACGGGCAGACUAGAGUGCGGUAGGGGAGACUGGAAUUCCUGGUGUAGCGGUGAAAUGCGCAGAUAUCAGGAGGAACACCGGUGGCGAAGGCACUUUACUGGGCUAUUACUAACACUCAGAGACGAAAGCUAGGGUAGCAAAUGGG
rnacentral:rRNA from 1 species